rnacentral:rRNA from 1 species
UACGGGGGGAGCAAGCGUUGUUCGGAUUUACUGGGCGUAAAGGGCGCGUAGGCGGCCACCGCAAGUCGACUGUGAAAUCUCCGGGCUUAACCCGGAAAGGUCAGCCGAUACUGCGGGGCUAGAGUGCAGAAGGGGGCAACUGGAAUUCUCGGUGUAGCGUGAAAUGCGUAGAUAUCGAGAGGAACACCUGCGGCGAAGGCGGGUUGCUGGGCCGACACUGACGCUGAUGCGCGAAAGCCAGGGGAGCGAACGGG